UCCCUCUCAAACGCUUGCGUUUGGUAGUGAGCGAUACUCUAUCUGACCUGACCCCCCCCGACCUGGGCGACUGGGGAGAGGGGAGCAGGAAGUGGAGUUUGCUUGAAAGUGGGAGGCCAUAGACGGAGCUUAGCUUGAGUGCGCAGUUGAAGCUGCGACGCCUGGCCGCGAAAACGAAGUCGUAUUAGGUUUUACCGACUCGGCGAAGGAAGUAGUGGACGGGGGGAAAAGAGCAGAGCUUUUUUGCUGGCUUGACAGAAUUCUCAAAGUUUGACCUCAAAUCAGGUAGGAUUACCCGCUGAACU
rnacentral:misc_RNA from 1 species